rnacentral:rRNA from 1 species
ACGGAGGGUGCACGCGUUAAUCGGAAUUACUGGGCGUAAAGCGCACGCAGGCGGUUUGGUAAGUUGGAUGUGAAAGCCCCGGGCUCAACCUGGGAACUGCAUCCAAAACUGGCAAGCUAGAGUACGGUAGAGGGUGGUGGAAUUUCAUGUGUAGCGGUGAAAUGGGUAGAUAUAGGAAGGAACACCAGUGGCGAAGGCGACCACCUGGACUGAUACUGACACUGAGGCACGAAAGCGUGGGGAGCAAACAG